GGUCGUAUAGUGUAGCGGUUAGCACAUCGGAUUCUGAUCAUAUCUCAAAUUCCGGUAACCCUGGUUCGAUUCCUGGUAUGACCU
rfam:Microsporum canis CBS 113480 supercont1.4 genomic scaffold, whole genome shotgun sequence.